UAGACCGCCUGGGGAGUACGGCCGCAAGGUUAAAACUCAAAUGAAUUGACGGGGGCCCGCACAAGCGGUGGAGCAUGUGGUUUAAUUCGAUGCAACGCGAAGAACCUUACCUGGUCUUGACAUCCACGGAAGUUUUCAGAGAUGAGAAUGUGCCUUCGGGAACCGUGAGACAGGUGCUGCAUGGCUGUCGUCAGCUCGUGUUGUGAAAUGUUGGGUUAAGUCCCGCAACGAGCGCAACCCUUAUCCUUUGUUGCCAGCGGUCCGGCCGGGAACUCAAAGGAGACUGCCAGUGAUAAACUGGAGGAAGGUGGGGAUGACGUCAAGUCAUCAUGGCCCUUACGACCAGGGCUACACACGUGCUACAAUGGCGCAUACAAAGAGAAGCGACCUCGC
rnacentral:rRNA from 3 species